rnacentral:rRNA from 1 species
ACUCCUACGGGAGGCAGCAGUAGGGAAUCUUCCACAAUGGGCGCAAGCCUGAUGGAGCAACACCGCGUGAGUGAAGAAGGGUUUCGGCUCGUAAAGCUCUGUUGUUAAAGAAGAACACGUAUGAGAGUAACUGUUCAUACGUUGACGGUAUUUAACCAGAAAGUCACGGCUAACUACGUGCCAGCAGCCGCGGUAAUACGUAGGUGGCAAGCGUUAUCCGGAUUUAUUGGGCGUAAAGAGAGUGCAGGCGGUUUUCUAAGUCUGAUGUGAAAGCCUUCGGCUUAACCGGAGAAGUGCAUCGGAAACUGGAUAACUUGAGUGCAGAAGAGGGUAGUGGAACUCCAUGUGUAGCGGUGGAAUGCGUAGAUAUAUGGAAGAACACCAGUGGCGAAGGCGGCUACCUGGUCUGCAACUGACGCUGAGACUCGAAAGCAUGGGUAGCGAACAGGAUUAGAUACCCCUGGUAGGAUAGCC